GACAAGGUUCCAGGCCCUACGGGGUGCAGCAGGCGCGAAACCUCCGCAAUGUGAGAAAUCGCGACGGGGGGAUCCCAAGUGCCAUUCUUAACGGGAUGGCUUUUCAUUAGUGUAAAAAGCUUUUGGAAUAAGAGCUGGGCAAGACCGGUGCCAGCCGCCGCGGUAACACCGGCAGCUCUAGUGGUAGCAAUUUUUAUUGGGCCUAAAGCGUCCGUAGCCGGUUUAAUAAGUCUCUGGUGAAAUCCUGCAGCUUAACUGUGGGAAUUGCUGGAGAUACUAUUAGACUUGAGACCGGGAGAGGUUAGAGGUACUCCCAGGGUAGAGGUGAAAUUCUGUAAUCCUGUGAGGACCGCCUGUUGCGAAGGCGUCUAACUGGAACGGUUCUGACGGUGAGGGACGAAAGUUAGGGGCGCGAACCGGAUUAGAUACCCGGGUAGUCCUAACUGUAAACGAUGCGGACUUGGUGUUGGGGUGGCUUUGAGCUGCUUCAGUGCCGA
rnacentral:rRNA from 1 species